rnacentral:rRNA from 1 species
AUUGAACGCUGGCGGCAGGCCUAACACAUGCAAGUCGAACGAGUGGCGGACGGGUGAGUAAUGUCUGGGAAACGGCCUGAUGGAGGGGGAUAACUACUGGAAACGGUAGCUAAUACCGCAUACCAUCGGAUGUGCCCAGAUGGGAUUAGCUGGUAGGUGGGGGAAAGGCUCACCUAGGCGACGAUCCCUAGCUGGUCUGAGAGGAUGACCAGCCACUCUGGAACUGAGCCACGGUCCAGACUCCUACGGGAGGCAGCCUUGGGGAUUAUUGCACAAUGGGCGCAAGCCUGAUGCAGCCAUGCCGCGUGUAUGAAGAAGGCCUUCGGGUUGUAAAGUACUUUCAGCGGGGAGGCGUUACCCACAGAAGAAGCACCGGCUAACACCGUGACAGCAGCGGCGGUAAUUC